UCGCGUCCCAUAAUUCACGGUCAAAAUCUGAAACAAGUGCCUUGCACUGUUACAGUGGCGUCCUCGUUCACGCCAAUUGGGCGAACAGCUUGGUUGGAACUGUGCCUAGGAUCGUCUCUCCUGCAGGACGGGAAGGGAAAAUUUCAAUUUCCUCUAAAUCAAACCAAAGCACCUGAACGUAUUUUUAUUCAAAUUACGCGCAACAUCCAGAAGCGGACGAGUACUGCUCGUCGAUGCUAGCUUGGAGCGAGGGGGAAUGUAAAAUCCUAAGAAUGCGAUGAAGUUUUGCAUUCGAUGGGGAACAAAAUUGCGCGCACGACGCAAGUUUCGGCUUCGGAGUAUUAUCUUCAUGACCUGCCCUCCACCUACAAUCUCGUCUUGAAGGAGGUUUUAGGUCGGGGCCGUUUCUUCAAGUCUAUUCAGUGCAAGCAUGAUGAGGGUUUGGUUUCUAGUCAAGGUCUAUUUCAAGCGUGGUGACUUCAUCGAUCUCAAAGAGUACGAACGGCGUUUGAGUCAGAUUAGAGACAUUUUCCGUGGCAUUGAUCAACCCCACGUCUGGCCCUUUCAGUUUUGGCAAGAAACGGACAAAGCAGCAUAUCUCUUGAGGCAACAUUUCUUCAUAAUCUGCAUGAUCGACUCAGUACUCGACCUUUUCUCAGUCUUAUUAGAAGAAAUGGUUGGCUUUUCAGUUGCUUCUAGCCGUGAAACAGAGCCAUGAGAAGGGAGUAUGCCAUGGUGAUAUUAAGUGCGAGAAUGUUCUGAUUACAUCCUGGAAUUGGCUUUACCUUGCGGACUUUGCAUCCUUCAAGCCCACUCACAUCCCAUAUGAUGACCCCUCAGAUUUUUCUUUUU